AGAACGAACGCUGGCGGCAUGCCUAACACAUGCAAGUCGAACGAGACCUUCGGGUCUAGUGGCGCACGGGUGCGUAACGCGUGGGAAUCUGCCCUUAGGUACGGAAUAGCCCGGGGAAACCUGGAAUAAUACCGUAUAAUGACUUCGGUCCAAAGAUUUAUCGCCUAAGGAUGAGCCCGCGUAGGAUUAGCUUGUUGGUGAGGUAAAAGCUCACCAAGGCGACGAUCCUUAGCUGGUCUGAGAGGAUGAUCAGCCACACUGGGACUGAGACACGGCCCAGACUCCUACGGGAGGCAGCAGUAGGGAAUCUUGGACAAUGGGCGAAAGCCUGAUCCAGCCAUGCCGCGUGAGUGAAGAAGGCCUUAGGGUUGUAAAGCUCUUUUGGCGGGGACGAUAAUGACGGUACCGCAGAAUAACGCCCCGGCUAACUUCGUGCCAGCAGCCGC
rnacentral:rRNA from 1 species